rnacentral:lncRNA from 1 species
AUUCUAGCCACCCACUCUCCUCCUGUGGCCUCAAAUCAUCUAGAACGACAUCGAGGCAAGGUCAGGCGGGCCUUGGGCCACUGAAUCAUCGUAGGAUUUAGCCGCGGAUCCCCUCCUGAAUACAGCUAAAACUGGUGUCCUCUGCUCUUCUCCAAACCCUCAGGCAUGCUCGUGACCUUUCGUGGAGCACGAGGAGCUGCUGGAACCCCUCAACCUCACUGAAAUCCCCAACUCCGAUGAGCUCCGCCGCUCACCAUCUUUGGAGAAGAACGUUGCGACGCCCUCCGGCCAUCUCUGCUUGAUUUCCUAGUACAUACUUGCUUGCGGUGAAGGGCUGCGUCCAUUCCCCUCCUCACCAACGGCAACCAUGGCCCAUCGUCAAAGAAUCAUCGCUGACCGAGCCAUCGUCCCUAUUCCCCUCUCUCUUAUAAACUCGAUAGAAGGCCCCCUGCCAGUCUCUCCUCUCGCUCCCUAAGCGCUAUAAGUGGAUGCGCGUUUUGAAAAUACGCCUUUGACGUGGCCCUAUCUGGCAUUUCCUAUUUUCUGUUUAAUUCAUUUAUUUUGACUGCAACUUUGACCAGCUCUAAUUCCUAAACCAUAAGUCCAA